GGGCCCGUAGCUCAGCCAGGAUAGAGCAACGGCCUUCGGAGCCGGAGGUCGGGGGUUCAAGUCCCCCCGGGCCCG
rnacentral:tRNA from 4 species